CAGCUUGUUGGUGAGGUAAUGGCUCACCAAGGCGACGACGGGUAGCCGGCCUGAGAGGGUGACCGGCCACACUGGGACUGAGACACGGCCCAGACUCCUACGGGAGGCAGCAGUGGGGAAUAUUGCACAAUGGGCGAAAGCCUGAUGCAGCGACGCCGCGUGAGGGAUGACGGCCUUCGGGUUGUAAACCUCUUUCAGUAGGGAAGAAGCGAAAGUGACGGUACCUGCAGAAGAAGCGCCGGCUAACUACGUGCCAGCAGCCGCGGUAAUACGUAGGGCGCAAGCGUUAUCCGGAAUUAUUGGGCGUAAAGAGCUCGUAGGCGGUUUGUCGCGUCUGCCGUGAAAGUCCGGGGCUCAACUCCGGAUCUGCGGUGGGUACGGGCAGACUAGAGUGAUGUAGGGGAGACUGGAAUUCCUGGUGUAGCGGUGAAAUGCGCAGAUAUCAGGAGGAACACCGAUGGCGAAGGCAGGUCUCAUGGGCAUUAACUGACGCUGAGGAGCGAAAGCAUGGGGAGCGAACAGGAUUAGAUACCCUGGUAGUCCAUGCCGUAAACGUUGGGCACUAGGUGUGGGGGACAUUCCACGUUUUCCGCGCCGUAGCUAACGCAUUAAGUGCCCCGCCUGGGGAGUACGGCCGCAAG
rnacentral:rRNA from 1 species